rnacentral:rRNA from 1 species
AGCAGUAGCCACGGUAAUACGUAGGUGGCAAGCGUUGUCCGGAAUUAUUGGGCGUAAAGGGCUCGCAGGCGGUUUCUUAAGUCUGAUGUGAAAGCCCCCGGCUCAACCGGGGAGGGUCAUUGGAAACUGGGAAACUUGAGUGCAGAAGAGGAGAGUGGAAUUCCACGUGUAGCGGUGAAAUGCAUAGAGAUGUGGAGGAACACCAGUGGCGAAGGCGACUCUCUGGUCUGUAACUGACGCUGAGGAGCGAAAGCGUGGGGAGCGAACAGGAUUAGAUACCCCCGUAGUCCCUGUCUCUUAUAC